rnacentral:tRNA from 1 species
CAAGUAAUAUUUUAUUAAAAAUAUUAAUUUUGGAUAUUAAUGAUGAAUUUUAUUCUUACUUGA